UACUUUAUUAAUUUGCUUUGCUAAUUUGGAUACCCCCCACACUGCGCUUCCAUUUUUCUUAACUGAAGAUGAGGAGAAGAGAGAGAAGGCAAGAACUGGCAGAGAAUAAGACAACACAAAAUAGACCCUGGGAUCCCUCUGAAUUUGCUCCAUCAUUCCUCCCUUCUCCACAGCCAGGAAUGCCCCUCUGGUUGGUGGCCUAGCAGAGGGUACAGUCUGCAUCACACAGUGAAGGGCUGCCAGCUGGCCUGUUCUCUCCCAAGCCACUGUUCUGGGGAACCGCCAGCCUUGCUCUGAGCUCCAGCGUUCAUGUGUCUGUCAUUCAGUGUCCUUUCCUGACAUGGGCAUUCACCAGCAGGACUAUGUUCCCCAAAGCCUUGGCCCGUGACCUCUGAAAGUUCCCUGCUGAUGUGCGCUGGUGGAGUCGAUAGUCCCUCUGGCCAAGUAAGCAGAUGCAUGUGCAAAACUGCAGGCUGUCAGUGGCAUUUACAAAGAGAAGAGGAAUGUGGGUCCAGAGAUGGGGCGGGCGGCCUUGAGGGGAGGGGAGGAGAGGAGAUGCAUGUGGAGGGGGGUUGUAGCCCCUAGGUCCUGGGGCCCAGGGAUGGAGGAGGUGCCGGCCUGGGCAUGAACCAUCCUGCCU
rnacentral:lncRNA from 1 species